ACCCGCACAAGCGGUGGAUGAUGUGGAUUAAUUCGAUGCAACGCGAAGAACCUUACUACCCUUGACAUGUCCGGAACUUGCCAGAGAUGGCUUGGUGCCCGAAAGGGAAUCGGAACACAGGUGCUGCAUGGCUGUCGUCAGCUCGUGUCGUGAGAUGUUGGGUUAAGUCCCGCAACGAGCGCAACCCUUAUCAUUAGUUGCUACGCAAGGGCACUCUAAUGAGACUGCCGGUGACAAACCGGAGGAAGGUGGGGAUGACGUCAAGUCCUCAUGGCCCUUAUGGGUAGGGCUUCACACGUCAUACAAUGGUCGGUACAGAGGGUUGCCAAGCCGCGAGGCGGAGCCAAUCCCACAAAGCCGAUCGUAGUCCGGAUCGCAGUCUGCAACUCGACUGCGUGAAGUUGGAAUCGCUAGUAAUCGUAGAUCAGCAUGCUACGGUGAAUACGUUCCCGGGCCUU
rnacentral:rRNA from 1 species